rnacentral:rRNA from 1 species
UACGUAGGGGGCUAGCGUUAUCCGGAAUUACUGGGCGUAAAGGGUGCGUAGGUGGUUUCUUAAGUCAGAGGUGAAAGGCUACGGCUCAACCGUAGUAAGCCUUUGAAACUGGGAAACUUGAGUGCAGGAGAGGAGAGUGGAAUUCCUAGUGUAGCGGUGAAAUGCGUAGAUAUUAGGAGGAACACCAGUUGCGAAGGCGGCUCUCUGGACUGUAACUGACACUGAGGCACGAAAGCGUGGGGAGCGAACAGG